rfam:Schistosoma mansoni strain Puerto Rico chromosome W, complete genome
GCACUGCUGAGGAGUCCCAUAAUAGGACGAAACAGCCGUCCAAUGC